GCAGGACACCGGCCGUUGAGUUGCCCACCCCUGGCUUACAGUGACUGUCCUGCAAAAAGAUGGCAGGAGUGACGCCCACUGUGGUCUUCUGCUGCUGCUUCAUCCGUUUUAAGGUUCAACUUGACACCCACGUGUGCUCUUCUGCAAACCUUGGCUGUAGCAGGUGUCCAAAGCAGGCUGGCCAUUCUUCUCUGACCUCUGGCAUCAACAAGGCACGUCCACCAAGAGAACUGCUGUUCACUGCAUAAUUUCUCUUGUUCAGACUAUUCUCUAUAAACCCUAAAGAUGGUUGUGUGGGGAAAAAACCCAGUAAAUCAGCAGCUUCUGAAAUGUUCAGACCUGGUUUAUGGUUGAACAAUGCUUAUGAACGUACUUAUAGGGAAAAGGAAAACAAUCCUCAUCACAUUUUUAAAUGUAAGAUAAGAGGACAGUUGAAUAGUGUAUCAUACAUGAUCUGCACCAAUAUAAUACAAAUAAAAAUAUAAAAAGGCAAGAUAAAGCCACUAUACAGCACUUUUCUACUCUGAGCACUCAAAGCCCUUUGCACAACUUGCCUCAUUCACACAAGCACUUUUUCUAUGCUCUUUCUACGUAAGUGCUUUCUAUCUAACAUGCGCACACAUUCAUACUAUGAUGAAUGCAUUGGAGAGCAACUUGGGAUUAGUAUUUUGCCCAAGGAUAUUGGGCAUGCAGAUAGGAGGGAUCGAACCACUAACCUUUUGAUCAGCAGAUAACCCGUUCCUUAUAUCUACCACUAAAGCCUCUUUUCCAUUAGUAUCUACUCAGUUUGACUUGACUCGACUCUACUGGGUUUUGGU